CGCCAGACUCCUACGGGAGGCAGCAGUGGGGAAUAUUGCACAAUGGGGGAAACCCUGAUGCAGCGACGCCGCGUGAGUGAAGAGGUAUUUCGGUAUGUAAAGCUCUAUCAGCAGGGAAGAUAAUGACGGUACCUGACUAAGAAGCCCCGGCUAACUACGUGCCAGCAGCCGCGGUAAUACGUAGGGGGCAAGCGUUAUCCGGAUUUACUGGGUGUAAAGGGAGCGUAGACGGCUGUGCAAGCCAGAUGUGAAAGCCCGGGGCUCAACCCCGGGACUGCAUUUGGAACUGUGUGGCUGGAGUGUCGGAGAGGCAGGCGGAAUUCCUAGUGUAGUGGUGAAAUGCGUAGAUAUUAGGAGGAACACCAGUGGCGAAGGCGGCCUGCUGGACGAUGACUGACGUUGAGGCUCGAAAGCGUGGGGAGCAAACAGGAUUAGAUACCCCUGUA
rnacentral:rRNA from 1 species